rnacentral:sRNA from 1 species
AUUCAUGGGGGCUUGAAUAUAUCGUGAUUUUACCACGGUUGUCCCUUUAUGAAAUUUUUUUACCCUGAGCGAUAGCGAGGGGUGAAAUACAUGUAUAUCGGCAUAAAGGGACAACCGGUGGUAAAAUCUUGAUAUAUUCAAGCC